CAAUAGCGUAUAUUAAAGUUGUUGCAGUUAAAAAGCUCGUAGUUGGAUUUGUGGCGGAACCUGCGGUCCAAUUUGGUACUCUCAGGGCCUGCCAUCUUUCAGUGGAGCCUGUCUGGCAUUAGGUUGUCGGGCAGGGGAUGCUGAUCGUUUACUGUGAAAAAAUUAGAGUGUUCCAAACAGGCUUAUGCCGUUGAAUAUAUUAGCAUGGAAUAAUGAGAUAGGACUUGGGUACUAUUUUGUUGGCUUGCGCACCAAAGUAAUGAUUAACAGGGACAGUUGGGGGUAUUCGUAUUCCAUUGUCAGAGGUGAAAUUCUUGGAUUCUUGGAAGACGAACUACUGCGAAAGCAUUUACCAAGGAUGUUUNCAUUAA
rnacentral:rRNA from 1 species